rnacentral:rRNA from 1 species
AAAAGCGGAGGAAAAGAAAAUAACUAUGAUUCCCUUAGUAACGGCGAGUGAACAGGGAAAAGCCCAAAUUUGUAAUCUGGCACUUUUUACAAGUGUCCGAGUUGUAAUUUGUAGAACUGUUAUCCGYGCUGGACCAUGUACAAGUCUGUUGAAAAGCAGCAUCAUUGAAGGUGAAAAUCCUGUAGAUGAUAUGGACUACCAGUGCAUUUGUGAUACGGUUUCUAAGAGUCGAGUUGUUUGGGAAUGCAGCUCAAAGUGGGUGGUAAAUUCCAUCUAAGGCUAAAUAUAAGUGAGAGACCGAUAGCAAACAAGUACCGUGAGGGAAAGAUGAAAAGAACUUUGAAAAUAGAGUUAACAGUACGUGAAAUUGCUGAAAGGGAAACGUUUGAAGUUAGUUUUGUAUUCGUUGGAUCAGCUUCGCAAGGAGUGUAUUCUGAUGAUAAGCAAGUCAACAUCAAUCUAUGAGUGUCGGAGAAGGGUUUUGAGAAUGUAGCAAUUUUUAUUAAUUGUGUUAUAGCUUGAGACUUGGAUACGAUGCUUUGGAUUGAGGAACGCGUAGUAAGCUUUGAGCGGAUUCGAAAGGAUCUCCUUACUAUGGAUGUUGGUGAAAUAACUUUAAGCGACCCGUCU